AGCUUUCAGGCUGGGUGUUGGACACGAGACGCAGCAUGAUAGAGCAGGUUGAUCUGAGAAAUACCGGCGAACUUGAUCUGGAUAAUACCAGCGAAAGGAUCUGCUUCUUGGGCUUC
rnacentral:ncRNA from 1 species